UCUCUCCAUCUCAAUCCCCUCUCUACAAUUUCCCAUUGAUUUAUAACAACAAAGGACUUGUCUUUGUUUUCUUUGUGGUGGAACUGCUUCUCUAGGAAUCACUUUUGCUAAUAAUCGCUUCUAGUAAAAGAGCUUUUAUUAUAAGGUGUUGAAAUUUUCAUAAGAAAUCAAAAGCACUUGGGAAUGCUUCCUAAAGGAGAAGCACAAGGCAGGUGUUUCUUCGAAAAAAAACUUCUAUGGCCUAUAAGUACUUCUAAACUUUUCUGCCAAAUGCGGUCAAAAACGCUUUUGAUUAUCAAAAAGCGCUUUCAGUUUUCCAGAAGCACUCCCAAACGGGCCCUAAGUAUAUCAACUUUAGUAAUAACAUUCUUCUUGCUUUAAAUAAUAAUAUAAAAAAGCUGGGGUUUGAUUAUAAAUAAAAAUAAAAAAAUGAAAGAAAGAAGGUGUGAUUUUUAAUCCAAAUGAGCUUUUAUUUCCCACAAUAAGAGUUCAAUUAUUGUGGAAAGUUUUAGGCCAAAAGUCACUUUUGGUCUCUAUAGUUUGGCAUUUCAAUCACUUUCGACCUUAUAGUUUUAAUUUCGUCACUUUUGAUCAUGUAGUUUCAUAUUUGUAACAAUUCAAGGACAAGAUAAAAUUUCUUUCAAUUUCUUUAACGGAACAACCACUUGCCACUCAUUUGGAGGGGCACUUUUAUCAGACCAAAACCUCACUUUAAAAAUUGGUCGCUACCUCUUUCCUUGGGCGCAAAAAUGGGCAACCAAAAUCUCAAAAUCCUCCCUCCUUCACUAUCCCAAAUUCCUAGCGCCUAACCAAUCUUUAUCUCCUCCAUCCAUUUCUCUCUCCCUACAGAUUCAGAACAAAACAACAAAGCAAUAACUUUCCAAACCCAAAGUUACAGAACAAAACAAGGCCACAAAAGAAUGGAACAAAAGCAUUGUAACCCACUUAUAUGCAUUGAAAAGUCGAAUAAAUGUUAUAAAACAAUUUCGCACAGAAAACUGUACCUUUAGGCUUUGUUUGGUUUAUGGAAUGAAUUUGAGGGGAAAUCAUUUUCCAAGGAAUGGAAAUGGAAGAUUCCUUUCCCACGUUUGGUAAUGCUAGGAAAGUAACCGGGAAAUAUCACUUUAUUUCCUUUCCCAUGUUUGUUUUGAAUAGGAAUGGAAACAAAAUUUGUAUAAAUUUUCAAUUAUACCCAUAUUAAAUCAAAUAAAAAAAGAAUGCAUUUAAUAAUAUAUUGUAAUUCUAAAUUGUUAAUGGGGAUAAAAUGGUCAUAAAAAAUAUGUAUUUAAUGUUAGCUCAUUUUCCCAAACUUUCCCAUGAGAAGGGUAAACAAAACCCAAGUUGGGAGGAUGACUUCACUUUCCCCCUACUUUCUCAUGAGUCAGGAAACGAUUUUCCAUACCUAGACUUACCAAACAUGGGAAAGUAAUUGAUUUCCCACCCCAAGUCUCCUUUCCCAUGAACCAAACAGGGCCCUAGUGACUCCUUAUAAUUUAAUGUUGCUUUGUUUUAUGCAUAUUUUAAACUUUUAAUUAAUGCUAAUUAUAAUAUUUACGACUCCCUAAACUAGAGAGUAUGAUUAGAGUUCAAAUUUUAUAAACAGUUCAUAAAAUAGCUUUUAUGUGUUUUUCGCUAAAUUUUAACUAAAAAAUAAAGAGUAUUAUUAUAAAUGCUCUUAGCCCAACUUUAAAAAAUAAUAAUAAUCACAUCAGCAAACUACAAAGACUUUUGCCACCAGAUUGGGAAUAUUACUCAUUAGCCUGUCACAUGCCUACAGUAGCAGGUUAAGGUCUUGGAAAGUAUGCAGAACGCUCGUUUCAUAUAUAUAUAUAUAUAUAUAUAUAUAUUGUUGUUUUUGGGUGAGACAAUUAAAAUAUGGACAGAACUUGGUGAGCAAGUUUUAUAUACAAGAAGUUCUUUAUUUCAAGAAACCCUCAAAUCCAAUCGUGCAAAGAACCGUAACCAGUUCUAUUAUAAAAGAAUAAUAAAAGUCAACAUUACAAUUUUAUGGUCAAUGUUUUUUGCCGGGAAGGUUUUUAACUAAUUAAUCUUUUAUGCAUGUGCUAAUAUCUCAUCUCACAUGCACCCCAUGGUUAAAAGAUGAACAUAUUUAUAUGUUAAAACCACAAAAUAUUUAAUUUUGGUGGACGCUAUCAAUGGAAUAUUUUGAAAGAGUCUUCGUCAAUGGAUUUCACACGCAUUAGAUUCGAGAACACGAAUGUUAAUUACUUGCCUUAAUACAAUUCUCUAUCUCCUAUAAAUUAGACCAGCUUGCUGAUUUUCUAGCUACUAUUGCAUCACUUUUCAACCACCCAUUUCUCAGCCAACCAAACCCAGAAGCCAUGUCUGUCAAGAAGAGUCUCUCUCUCAACAACGGCGGAGCUGGGAUGGGUGGUGCAUCUACGAAGAAGACUAAGAAGAGUUAUUCUCUAACCAAUGGUGGGAACGGCGGCGAUGUAGUUACAGCAAAGCGCGGGCGGUUUGAUCGAUGUUUUUCUUUCAUGGAGAUUUCAACAGAACAAGGAAAAUCACUCAAGGACAUGGAUUCGGAGAAGUUGAAAUCUGGGAUCAGGAGGUGGGCUAAGGCUGUUGUUGCUUACGCCCGCCAAGUCAGCGGCCGCUUCGGAGGCACCCGUGGCUGACUGAUGACAAGCCUAACUGUAAGUGCCUAAUGGAAGUAGUUCUGCUUUGAACAUAGUGAAUAUCAAAAUGAUGGAGUUACUUGAAUUGUAACUCAAUUUUCCAUGCUGAUAAACGUACAUAGGAGAUUAAGAAAUGAAUGAUUGAUUGGUCCUUGUAUGUAAAUGCGCCCAAUGAUGUAAAUAGUUGAUUUUUCCAUCCAAAAUAAGGCCUGUGUCAAGCCAAGUAUCCAAAUUGCAUGCUAUUUUGUUAAUACUCACAAAAAGCAAAAACAAUUUUUUUGCACUUUUCUGUUAUAUUUAGGUGAAAUUGGAAUUUAAACCAUCCAAGGAAAAAGAAAUUAUAGCCAGUACUAUACAUCUACUUACAAAACCAUUACAACCCACCAAAAGAACAAACAAAAACGAAACCAAAAUUUUUGUGCUACUGCAGCUCAACUCUAGAAAGCCUAUUUGUGGCUUAGUUUCUAACUUAUGAGAAGACAGCAACGAUAAAACCUCUACUCCCUGACCUUAUUGUGACUUUUUAAGUUCACCAAAUGUCGCCCUCUCACCAGAAAUGUUCCUCAAAAGCUGUUUCGAGCACAUGUUCUCAGCCGUCGUUGCAUCUUUCACACGGUCGGCCUUCACCCAAGCCGGUUCCUGCAAGAAAGUUUUAUGAUAAUAUAAUGAUCAGCAUCUUCCUUUUAACCAUUACAUGUUAUAAUAACAAGAGAUGAUGUAAAUUUGGAGUAAGCGUUCACCUCGGGAACAAAGCGGGAGAAUCCAAACUUAAUCAACAAGAGGACAUGUUCCAUAACCAGAAUUGCAGCCAGGCCAGGCUCUAUCUUCCAUUUGCCCUCUUCAUCAUAUAACCAUACUAGAAGCGCACAGUUGGUGCAUAUAGACAUAACGACGAGAAACUACAAAUUGCAGACAACCUGACAUUAGAAAGAUGACGAUAAGAGAGAAAAUGGAACACAUAGUCAACCCUCCAAUUCUCUCCCUUGUUUUAUAUUUACUGCAGAGAAGAAAGCAAAUCUAAUACAGCUGCCAACAAAUAUGUCUCUUUACCUAAUCAAUCCAUUUUGAACUUUCCAGAAUUUAAGGUUGAGCUAUACGAAUUCUAUAUUUUCUUCACAAUACAUAACCAUAAACCAUAAGUAUAAGUACCUGAAAUAUAUUCAGCCAAGCUCCAAUUGUUGUGGAAAAACGAGGAGUUGGUCUUCUCAACAUGGCAAGAAGCUUCAAUGCAUCCGCCCUAAUUUCGGUGAUGUUGUUCUGUGAAAAGUACAACUCGAACAUUAGAAUACAAAAUACUACAAAGCAUAAAGAACUCCAAAUAAACAACCAUAAAGCAUAAUUUACCAAAGUUGCAAAAGCAAAAGCAAGGGGGAAUGCACAAGCAAACAUCAUUAUCAUUCCGAACUGCAAUGCAACCUCCAGAAAGUCUGCAGGUCAAAUCACAGUGCUAAUCAGCAGAGAAUAAAGAAACAUACAAGAAUUCUCAUGAUUACUCGAAACUAAGGAGGAAAAUGCAAAUUUUAAAAACGCCAGACAUAAUUGACAUAUUACCAUCAAACAACCCAUCUUCAAGUUCCAUGCCAAUGCUUGCGGAAUAAGAAGGCUUCAGGUACUCUUUUUCUACCCUAGAAGCAAACUGGAUCUUCCCAGUUGAUGAACCUUUUUCACGUUUUUUCUUGCUCCUUGAAUUCAGAAUGGCAAAUAAGGUCAUGUUCAGAUAAACUUAAAAUCACCCCAAAACAUAAGGGUCCAGAAGAUAAAAACAUAGUAUAGGCUUACCGAAUUCUAUAUUUCUUAUAACUGUACUUGAGAUAUGGCAAAGUAUUUUCCAACAAGUUUUCCAACACCUGGAAAGCAUAGACCAAUUCAUGAGCAUGAGAGGAGAGGUAUAAAAUCAAAACAGUGAAUAAAAUAGAACUCAUUUUACCUGAGACACAAGGAGGCGUUGAAUCAAGACUUUGCGGAGUGUUGAAAAAUUGCGGUGCAAAAGGGCAUGGUAGAAAACUCCUAUAUAUGACUGCAUGAAAUAAAGACCAAACACCUGCAAAAUAAAUUAAAACACAAAAUAAGUCCUUGAACUUUGAAGCGUAGAAAACUCCUCCAAGAAGCAGCAAAGAAGACGCUAGGGAUCGAUCUCCACUUAACACACCUUGUAGACCAAGCUGUCUGCUUUUUUUUCUGUGUUUUCAUUAUUUUCAUACUUAAUGAGCUUGACGGAGAUCUUGCCCCCAAUCUGUGUAAGGAGCUGAAUGGCAAAAAGAUAAAUGGUAGUCAACCCAAACCUGAAAAAUAAAGAAAGGAUAAGUGUCAUUCUCACACUAUAAUUCCAAAGAAUUAAUACCAUAGGAAAAAGAAUGAAUGCUGUGUCUAAAUGAUCGCUACAGAUCAGAAUUGGUUGUGCCCUUAAAUUGGGUUUCUGUUUGACUUAAUAUUUCUAAUUCGACUUUCCCUCUCCUUGUCCAAAGUUUCUAAGCAUGAGGACAAGUGCAGCAGCAGAUACAAACUCUAAAAUCCCAUUAUGUCAAAACCAAUAAACCCAAAAUUUUCCUCCAUCUUAUGUCUAGUAUGCAACCUGAACAGAGUCAAUCUCAGCAAUAGUUCUCAUCCAACUGUCAAUAGCACUCAUGCACAACUGAUGCACCGAGUUAUCAUGCAUAAAAAAUAAAAAUAUGAGCACAAACUCUGGAAUGUUAAAAAUGAUUUUUCAUUGAUGAAAAUAGAAUUAGAUGAAUGUGCAAGUGUAUACAUUCACAUGAAUGCAAGAGGACUCGGCGUCUUACUUCAUAAUAUCAGACCCAAUAACCUCGUAAAUAUGAGCAUACGCUAGUUCGAAUGGUAACUGGAGGCAUAUAAUACUGAAGAUAAUGAUAGCAUCAUUUCGGAAUCUCAUGAGUCGUCCAAACCACUCAAUUCUUUGGAACAUUUCUUUCUCUUUAGUUUUGUCAGUCCCCCAUUUUUUUGCGAUUUCAAUAGACUGUGAGGAACUCCACUCCAUGCCCUGUCUAUAUCCCAGGUCAGCUCUAAUUGGGUAACGAAUCUUCCAUCUAAACACGCAACCAAGAAAGAGAAAGAGGUAAAGUAUGUUAGAAAAAGUAAAAAUAUAACUGAAAAUGAAUAAGCAUAGAUCUGAUAACCACAAGACAAUUUCAUUGUAAAUCAAGCUACCUGGCUAAAAGGGCAUUGUUUUUACGUUUCCAGAACUGGGAAAACAUUAUAGCCCACAAUAUUAUGCUUAUGAAGAAAAUGGGGAGCACCAGUAACUGCAAUGACCUAAGGAAAACAUUAAGCAAACAUACAUCAGUUUCAAUAAGCAGCACUAGUAAAAUAAGUUGACAGCCAACAAGGAAAUUAAGAAAUAAGGAAGAUGACCCACCCAAAAUCAAACAUGUGCAAAAUAAGCCCAAAUGCAGCUGGAAAGAGCAACCACCGAGUGUACAUUCCAAGGAAAGCAAAAUAGAUGGCAAUCUACAAAGACAUUAAAUUCUUGCUUAAUGUUAGGAAAUAGAGAGAAAGAUAGUUUGCUAUUGCUACUAACUCACUUUUGUUCCAAAAUAGGAAUAAAUCUCAUCUAUUGGCUGGUUUGUGAAGUCCCACCAGUGCAGUGCCCACGUCUGAAGGAGCUUCUUCCUUUUUAUUUCAUCUAUCAGUCAAAAAUCAUCUUAAUUUAAAGUUUAACAGAGAUGCACGCAUUUUGUGAAUUUGUAAACAUACCAUGCAAAGGAAACACUUCUUUGACGAUCCUCUCUGACUCCAAUUUCUGAAGUAAAUACUCCCCGACUUCCCAUUGGAAUUCUUUGCUGUCAAAUCUUAAUGUUACACUUGACUGACUCUUGUUAAUCUGUAAAAUUUCAGUUCUAUCUUUGUCAAAGGCAAAAACUUAUGGAUGAAUAUUUGCACACAGAAAUAUAAUUAUAAGGGAAAAUGUUCCAAGGGUUUCAGUUGUUUGUACAUCAACUGGCACAAAGUUUAGAAAAACAAAACACUAGAGGUCAACUGGUGGGAUGUAUUCUACCAAAGAGUGACAAAAAAAGGAUGGAUAUAAACAUGAAAUUGUAACGUAAAAUCAAAUUGAAUGGAUAUAUAACCUUAAUACGAUAUAAAUUUACAAUUAAAAAAAAUUCAAAAGCAUUCUGUAAUUAGAAGUAAUAUACCAAAACAUCAGAAAGAAAAAAUGGCAUUGGAACAUCAUAAGAUCCUAAUAUGUUAAAUGACUUACAAUUCCAUAUAUUAAGUGCCUAUAGCAGCGAAAACGCUCACACCAACUGAACAAAGAACCAUCAGGCUGUCUCUCAAAAGCAUCAACCUCCUCCCAUUCAAAUUCUAAAUCCAUCCCUGAAACCAAGUGCAGCAUAUUAGUUUUUUAGUAUUACCGAAGUGGAAAUUAAUAGAUACUAGAAUCUAAAAUACAGAACAACCUCAAAUGAAAAAUAAUAAAAUUUGAAAGCCAACUGGAAUAGAACUGCAAGAUCAUUACCAAUAGGAGUUCGUUUUUUAAUAUGCAAUUCAGCUGCAGCCCUCCCCAGUGUUUCCAAAGGUGCUGCCAACUGAAAGAUAGAAAUCUAAGGUCCAGCAACCAAAUUCAAGAAACCAUAUAGACAAAACAUUGCCGAAUUGUAUGUACCAUUUUCAUUCAGCAUAAACAAAAAACGACAUGAAUAAUGCUGGGUUAUCAUAAAUUGCCAAGUAUAGUGCUCAUUUGCAAUUUAGAAUAAAAAAUAGAAACAACAAAUUUUAGCAAAAGGGAACAUUUCUUUUUUGCCAUUAGCAAAAAGAUCUCAAUUUCAUAAGUUUUGUCUACAUGCGUCGGUACAAAAUACAAAGAUUCACUUGGAUUAAUUAAAAAAAUUUCCUAGUAAGCAAGAUUUAUAAAUACAGAGAGAGAUCGUAUCAGAAAUUAUUCACAGAAUCUAUUCUCAUGAGCCAAUUGCACGAAACAAUGUAUGGUAAUAUAAAUCAAUUACUGAAAAUCCAAACGAAAAAUCAAGGCAGGAAAAUAAGAGCAAAAGUAGAAAGACAAACCUUGAUAAACUCAUCAACAACGCCAUGCACUCUCUCAACUACCAAACCCAAAUUUCUAAACUCGUCUACCAACACCUCCACACAGUCAGAAGCUUUAUCUUCUUCCUUCACAUCUCUCUUUGGAACCACAACCCCAAUCUCAAAAGCAGUUUGUUCCUCCUCAAGCACAUUCAUUUCCUGUCCACCAAACAACUUUAACACCUGAGAACAGCCAAAUGGAUCUCUGUCUUUAAGAUCCAAAUGAUGCCCAAACCCACCAAAGAGGUAAACUUUCACAGAAACUGGCUCAAACAGUGAAGUGGGCAAUUGUAUUUUGGAACAACAGAAGCUUGCAAACACCAAAGACAAGAUUUUUCUGUUGAAAUGGCUCAAAUUGCUAAAUGGGUCUAUCAAUUGUGAACCAACGUUGCUCUCUGUGCAGAUCAAACGAAAAGCUGUGUUUAUCAAACAUACAGAUAAAUGUGUCCCAAUGGAAUUGGAAAUGUAGGUUCUUGGAAGAUAAGAGCAGAAGAGAGAGAGAGAGAGAGAGAGAUGAGAGGGAGAACAGAUGGCCGAGCAGUCGGCUAUUAUGGGCGAGCCGUUGCGAGGGAGAGACACAUUGGAUGGUAUGGAAGGAGGAAGACACGUGGGCUCCGAUAUUUGGCAGUUCCUUACGUUUUGCGGUUUGCAGAAGCAGGGAAAGGAGAAGCCGGUACGAUUUCCCAUGUUACCUCGGGUCUGUCCAAUUUGACUACAUAUUUUUGGCCAAUAAAAUAAUUUUUUCUAUAUUUUGGAAGAGUUUUGAAAAUUUUGAAAAUUUGAAUGUCACCCAAUUAAAAAGGUAAACUAAUGCAGUUUUGACAUGGUGUAUGAAUGUUAUGUCAUUAUUAUUAUCUUGUCCAGUAGCAAAUGAUGCUCUCAAACUUCAUGGCCUAUUAUUGUUCAUCUAUUGAUUUCUUCUUUUACCAGUCUCAUUGUUCCCAACUAUUUGAGGAACAAAACCAAGAAUCGGCAAGAACAAACACUAAAAUCUAUGGUGAAAGGGAUAGCGACACUGAUGUUAUCUAUGGAUAUUACUCUUUUACAUGACAUGUUCGAAAACAUUAUUGAAAUUAUUCAUAUUCACGAUUUUCAAUAUAUAUGUAUUGGAAUUUUCUGUUUUUAUUUUUAUUUUUCUUGCGUUUACUAACACCUACGAAAUCAACUAUGUAAUCAAAUGCAUGCAAACCCAAGAAUUAGAUCGAUAUAGUAGUUGAUUUAAUUCUAAUUCAAAAGGACAAUAAUAAUUUGCAAAACAAACUAACCUUAUAGGUGAGGUGAGGGGUUAUGUCUGUCAAGACUCAAGAACUCUUCAACGAUUGUUUAUCUUACUUUUUCCAUGGGCAGAUGUCUUUGUACUUGUUUGCAAUAUUUAAAGAAGAAAGGGGAAACCAGUUUCGGGUAACUUCCCUUUGUUUCCUCUUCCUUGUGAAGGAGGGGAUGUUGCAAGUAAGUGUUUUCUUUUUGGGUUUAGCGGUGUAAAAAACUACCCUACCAUUUUUUAAUGUAAAAACAUAAAUAAAAGUUUGGUUAUGUAUAUCAGUUUUUGUCUAAUAAGUUUUUUGAGCUUUUAUCACAAAACAUCACAAGCUUGCGAAAUUAUUAAGUUUUUUUUUUCUUUCUUAGUAUUCAAUUUGAUUAUCCACGUUUUUCUGCACACAUCAAUGUUGUCUAUAUCGUCUAAUCCCAUUAAAAAUUCUAUUAGUGUGCUAAUGUGACACGCAUAUGCAGCCAUUACCUCACAAAUACGGUGAAAAAACUAAUUUUACAAAACUCAGUGACAAUUUGUGAUAAAAAUAUUUAUAAUUAUAAUUUUUAAGGUUUUUCCCAAUGGGGUCUAGCUCAUUGAAAAAAGGCCUAGGUCUCAGGUUUGAAUUCUCACGGCAUUAUAGUUGUAUGUGUGUGAGAAUAAUCCUCAUCUCAUGUAAUUUAGACUAUCGCUUGUACUCAAAAAAAUAAAAAUAAAACAUUUUAGGUUUUUAACAGCAAGGAGUAAGCCCAAGUCACAUAUUCUUUAUGUCCAGUCUAAAACAAAACAAUCCGAUACUUCACAAAAAAGCGGCCCAACAAAGGAAAAGUAGGAAACUUCGACUAGUUGACUUCCCUCUGAGACAGACGCGGAACGCGUAAAUCGCAAAUCCAAAACACACAAAUACGGAACCUUUCUCCGAUUUAAAACCAAAACCCUAGAAAAUCAAAUCCCCAAAAUCCACCAUGGGAAACACCGAGAAGCUGAUGAACCAGAUCAUGGAGCUGAAAUUUACGUCCAAGUCGCUUCAGCGCCAAUCCAGAAAGUGCGAGAAAGAGGAGAAAGCCGAGAAGCUGAAGAUCAAGAAGGCCAUGGAAAAAGGCAACGUUGACGGCGCUCGGAUCUACGCCGAGAACGCGAUCCGAAAGCGCACAGAGCAAAUGAACUAUCUCCGGCUCGCUUCCCGGCUCGACGCUGUGGUGGCUCGGCUCGACACCCAGGCCAAGAUGUUCACCAUCAAUAAGUCCAUGGGAAAUAUUGUCAAAUCACUCGAAUCGUCGCUGGCCACCGGAAACCUCCAGAAGAUGUCGGAGACCAUGGACUCGUUCGAGAAGCAGUUCGUGAACAUGGAGGUCCAGGCCGAGUUCAUGGAAACCGCCAUGGCUGGCUCCACCUCGCUUUCGACUCCAGAGGGUGAGGUCAAUAGCUUGAUGCAACAGGUCGCCGAUGACUAUGGGCUUGAGGUUUCUGUGGGCCUACCUCAGCCAGCUGCCCAUGCCGUGCCGGCCAAGGAAACCGAGAAGGUCGACGAGGACGACCUCUCCAGGAGGCUUGCGGAGCUCAAGGCUAGAGGUUAGAAUAGGGAAGGCGAUCAGC
rnacentral:lncRNA from 1 species